UACGUAGGGUGCAAGCGUUAAUCGGAAUUACUGGGCGUAAAGCGUGCGCAGGCGGUUGUGCAAGACAGAUGUGAAAUCCCCGGGCUUAACCUGGGAACUGCAUUUGUGACUGCACGGCUAGAGUGCGGCAGAGGGGGAUGGAAUUCCGCGUGUAGCAGUGAAAUGCGUAGAUAUCAUUUGGAACGCCAAUGGUGAAAACAGGUAGCUGGGAGUGUGCUGACACUGAGACACGAAAGCCAGGGGAGCGAACGGG
rnacentral:rRNA from 1 species